rnacentral:rRNA from 1 species
CUACGGGUCGCAGCAGUAGGGAAUCUUCCACAAUGGGCGAAAGCCUGAUGGAGCAACGCCGCGUGAGUGAAGAAGGUUUUCGGAUCGUAAAACUCUGUUGUAAGGGAAGAACAAGUACAGUAGUAACUGGCUGUACCUUGACGGUACCUUAUUAGAAAGCCACGGCUAACUACGUGCCAGCAGCCGCGGUAAUACGUAGGUGGCAAGCGUUGUCCGGAAUUAUUGGGCGUAAAGCGCGCGCAGGCGGUCCUUUAAGUCUGAUGUGAAAGCCCACGGCUCAACCGUGGAGGGUCAUUGGAAACUGGGGGACUUGAGUGCAGAAGAGGAAAGUGGAAUUCCAAGUGUAGCGGUGAAAUGCGUAGAGAUUUGGAGGAACACCAGUGGCGAAGGCGACUUUCUGGUCUGUAACUGACGCUGAGGCGCGAAAGCGUGGGGAGCAAACAGGAUUAGAUACCCUAGUAGUC